AUUGAACGCUGGCGGCAUGCCUUACACAUGCAAGUCGAACGGUAACAGGUCUUCGGAUGCUGACGAGUGGCGAACGGGUGAGUAAUACAUCGGAACGUGCCCGAUCGUGGGGGAUAACGGAGCGAAAGCUUUGCUAAUACCGCAUACGAUCUACGGAUGAAAGCAGGGGACCGCAAGGCCUUGCGCGGACGGAGCGGCCGAUGGCAGAUUAGGUAGUUGGUGGGAUAAAAGCUUACCAAGCCGACGAUCUGUAGCUGGUCUUAGAGGACGACCAGCCACACUGGGACUGAGACACGGCCCAGACUCCUACGGGAGGCAGCAGUGGGGAAUUUUGGACAAUGGGCGAAAGCCUGAUCCAGCCAUGCCGCGUGCAGGAUGAAGGCCUUCGGGUUGUAAACUGCUUUUGUACGGAACGAAAAGACUCUUUCUAAUAAAGAGGGUCCAUGACGGUACCGUAAGAAUAAGCACCGGCUAACUACGUG
rnacentral:rRNA from 1 species